GGAGCGAUACUCAAGAGGCUGAAGAGGACGGUUUGCUAAAUCGUUAGGCGGCUUCGCCGUGCGAGAGUUCGAAUCUCUCUCGCUCCGCCA
rnacentral:tRNA from 6 species